GACCUGAGCAGUAUCUACAAACCAUCCGUUCUCCAGAGAUGAGUGCAGGGGAGCUGGCCAGAUGCUUGCCUGGAGAUUUCAUUCAUGGGAAGUGUCAAAAUAUUCCCAGAAAUGCACAGUAACAUAGAAAGUAGAAUACUGGAUGUUCGAAAGGAUUUCUUUGAUAAACUUCUUGGAGUUUGCCAUAAAACCCAGGGGAACUCUUCAAAUGACAAGCUUGGUACCAAAAUGGUCUUUUGAAAAGAACAAGAUUGGUUAAAUAGUCACUGUUUUUGGCAGAGUGGCGUACUUAGGAUUGGAUUACCGCUCAACUUCAAAAUCGUAUGGCCUGUGACCAUGGACACCCACCCUCUCUUGGGGUCUGCAGGCCAGCUCAGCGGGGACUGUCAGGAUGGGCUCCAGGAAGCAGGGUGUGUUCAGGUCUGUCUCUUACUUCCUCAUUCCCCUUAGACCUGCACCUACCAGGCUUGUCACCAAGGCACAAGGGAAUGAGCGAGAACCAGCCAUACCCCCGAGACCUCGCCCCAAACCAACCACUGUCAUUUCUGCUCACACUCUGAGACCAAGCAAGUCUCCGGGCCAAGCCCAGCAUCCCCGGUGCAGGGAAGCACAUCCCUCCAUCUUCACGGACGUGUCCAAAGCCGCGCGGCAAUCAGUGUGGUGGGAAGAACAGGGCACUUGACCACCUGACGCACGAACUGGGAGGGCUCCCACUCUGUCUCCACGCCACACGUAGCUUCUCUAUACAGAUGCUGGGCAAAAAUAGGAAGCAUGUUGAUCUGAAUCCUGUAUCAAAUGAUGGAGACCAGCAGACGUGUUGAUCAUUAAGGCUUCAGCAGCGUUCCCAGCAUAACUGACUAAAUGGCGAAAGACACCUUGAUGUUCAAAACCUCCUGAGCUACCCAGCCAUUCUUCUGAAGAAGAUUAGGGCUACUGCACGCGAACCCUUGAACAGUGUCUCAAUUAUUUACAUUCUGGUUGUGAUAGAAAACUUGGAAAAUAGAAGAAAGAAUUAAAAUAUUAAUCAAUAAUUGGCGGCCCCUCCAUCCAGAGAUCACCUCUGUUCGCAUUUUCAAAUAUUCCUUCCGUUUGCUCUGCUAUGCAUAUUGCUAUACAUAAUUCUCACCAUAUUUCAAAAAUAAUUUUAAUAGUCAACAUUGACCAA
rnacentral:lncRNA from 10 species